GGGUUGUGAGGUUAAGCGACUAAGCGUACACGGUGGAUGCCCUGGCAGUCAGAGGCGAUGAAGGACGUGCUAAUCUGCGAUAAGCGUCGGUAAGGUGAUAUGAACCGUUAUAACCGGCGAUUUCCGAAUGGGGAAACCCAGUGUGAUUCGUCACACUAUCAUUAACUGAAUCCAUAGGUUAAUGAGGCGAACCGGGGGAACUGAAACAUCUAAGUACCCCGAGGAAAAGAAAUCAACCGAGAUUCCCCCAGUAGCGGCGAGCGAACGGGGAGCAGCCCAGAGCCUGAAUCAGUGUGUGUGUUAGUGGAAGCGUCUGGAAAGGCGCGCGAUACAGGGUGACAGCCCCGUACACAAAAAUGCACAUACUGUGAGCUCGAUGAGUAGGGCGGGACACGUGGUAUCCUGUCUGAAUAUGGGGGGACCAUCCUCCAAGGCUAAAUACUCCUGACUGACCGAUAGUGAACCAGUACCGUGAGGGAAAGGCGAAAAGAACCCCGGCGAGGGGAGUGAAAAAGAACCUGAAACCGUGUACGUACAAGCAGUGGGAGCCUCUUAAUGGGGUGACUGCGUACCUUUUGUAUAAUGGGUCAGCGACUUAUAUUCUGUAGCAAGGUUAACCGAAUAGGGGAGCCGAAGGGAAACCGAGUCUUAACUGGGCGUUAAGUUGCAGGGUAUAGACCCGAAACCCGGUGAUCUAGCCAUGGGCAGGUUGAAGGUUGGGUAACACUAACUGGAGGACCGAACCGACUAAUGUUGAAAAAUUAGCGGAUGACUUGUGGCUGGGGGUGAAAGGCCAAUCAAACCGGGAGAUAGCUGGUUCUCCCCGAAAGCUAUUUAGGUAGCGCCUCGUGAAUUCAUCUCCGGGGGUAGAGCACUGUUUCGGCAAGGGGGUCAUCCCGACUUACCAACCCGAUGCAAACUGCGAAUACCGGAGAAUGUUAUCACGGGAGACACACGGCGGGUGCUAACGUCCGUCGUGAAGAGGGAAACAACCCAGACCGCCAGCUAAGGUCCCAAAGUCAUGGUUAAGUGGGAAACGAUGUGGGAAGGCCCAGACAGCCAGGAUGUUGGCUUAGAAGCAGCCAUCAUUUAAAGAAAGCGUAAUAGCUCACUGGUCGAGUCGGCCUGCGCGGAAGAUGUAACGGGGCUAAACCAUGCACCGAAGCUGCGGCAGCGACACUAUGUGUUGUUGGGUAGGGGAGCGUUCUGUAAGCCUGCGAAGGUGUACUGUGAGGUAUGCUGGAGGUAUCAGAAGUGCGAAUGCUGACAUAAGUAACGAUAAAGCGGGUGAAAAGCCCGCUCGCCGGAAGACCAAGGGUUCCUGUCCAACGUUAAUCGGGGCAGGGUGAGUCGACCCCUAAGGCGAGGCCGAAAGGCGUAGUCGAUGGGAAACAGGUUAAUAUUCCUGUACUUGGUGUUACUGCGAAGGGGGGACGGAGAAGGCUAUGUUGGCCGGGCGACGGUUGUCCCGGUUUAAGCGUGUAGGCUGGUUUUCCAGGCAAAUCCGGAAAAUCAAGGCUGAGGCGUGAUGACGAGGCACUACGGUGCUGAAGCAACAAAUGCCCUGCUUCCAGGAAAAGCCUCUAAGCAUCAGGUAACAUCAAAUCGUACCCCAAACCGACACAGGUGGUCAGGUAGAGAAUACCAAGGCGCUUGAGAGAACUCGGGUGAAGGAACUAGGCAAAAUGGUGCCGUAACUUCGGGAGAAGGCACGCUGAUAUGUAGGUGAAGUCCCUCGCGGAUGGAGCUGAAAUCAGUCGAAGAUACCAGCUGGCUGCAACUGUUUAUUAAAAACACAGCACUGUGCAAACACGAAAGUGGACGUAUACGGUGUGACGCCUGCCCGGUGCCGGAAGGUUAAUUGAUGGGGUUAGCGCAAGCGAAGCUCUUGAUCGAAGCCCCGGUAAACGGCGGCCGUAACUAUAACGGUCCUAAGGUAGCGAAAUUCCUUGUCGGGUAAGUUCCGACCUGCACGAAUGGCGUAAUGAUGGCCAGGCUGUCUCCACCCGAGACUCAGUGAAAUUGAACUCGCUGUGAAGAUGCAGUGUACCCGCGGCAAGACGGAAAGACCCCGUGAACCUUUACUAUAGCUUGACACUGAACAUUGAGCCUUGAUGUGUAGGAUAGGUGGGAGGCUUUGAAGUGUGGACGCCAGUCUGCAUGGAGCCGACCUUGAAAUACCACCCUUUAAUGUUUGAUGUUCUAACGUUGGCCCCUGAUCGGGGUUGCGGACAGUGUCUGGUGGGUAGUUUGACUGGGGCGGUCUCCUCCUAAAGAGUAACGGAGGAGCACGAAGGUUGGCUAAUCCUGGUCGGACAUCAGGAGGUUAGUGCAAUGGCAUAAGCCAGCUUGACUGCGAGCGUGACGGCGCGAGCAGGUGCGAAAGCAGGUCAUAGUGAUCCGGUGGUUCUGAAUGGAAGGGCCAUCGCUCAACGGAUAAAAGGUACUCCGGGGAUAACAGGCUGAUACCGCCCAAGAGUUCAUAUCGACGGCGGUGUUUGGCACCUCGAUGUCGGCUCAUCACAUCCUGGGGCUGAAGUAGGUCCCAAGGGUAUGGCUGUUCGCCAUUUAAAGUGGUACGCGAGCUGGGUUUAGAACGUCGUGAGACAGUUCGGUCCCUAUCUGCCGUGGGCGCUGGAGAACUGAGGGGGGCUGCUCCUAGUACGAGAGGACCGGAGUGGACGCAUCACUGGUGUUCGGGUUGUCAUGCCAAUGGCACUGCCCGGUAGCUAAAUGCGGAAGAGAUAAGUGCUGAAAGCAUCUAAGCACGAAACUUGCCCCGAGAUGAGUUCUCCCUGACUCCUUGAGAGUCCUGAAGGAACGUUGAAGACGACGACGUUGAUAGGCCGGGUGUGUAAGCGCAGCGAUGCGUUGAGCUAACCGGUACUAAUGAACCGUGAGGCUUAACCUUACAACGCCGAAG
rnacentral:rRNA from 1 species